rnacentral:rRNA from 1 species
UACGAAGGGGGCUAGCGUUGCUCGGAAUCACUGGGCGUAAAGGGUGCGUAGGCGGGUUUUUAAGUCAGGGGUGAAAUUCCGGGGCUCAACCUCGGAACUGCCUUUGAUACUGGGGAUCUUGAGUCCGGGAGAGGUGAGUGGAACUGCGAGUGUAGAGGUGAAAUUCGUAGAUAUUCGCAAGAACACCAGUGGCGAAGGCGGCUCACUGGCCCGGAACUGACGCUGAGGUGCGAAAGCGUGGGGAGCAAACAGG